rnacentral:rRNA from 1 species
UACGUAGGGUGCAAGCGUUGUCCGGAAUUAUUGGGCGUAAAGGGCGCGUAGGCGGCUUCGCAAGUGGAAGGUGAAAUCCCUCGGCUUAACCGAGGAACUGCCCUCCAAACUGCGUGGCUUGAGUCCGGGAGAGGUGAGUGGAAUUCCCAGUGUAGCGGUGAAAUGCGUAGAUAUUGGGAGGAACACCAGUGGCGAAGGCGGCUCACUGGACCGGAACUGACGCUGAGGCGCGAAAGCGUGGGGAGCAAACGGG